CUGCAGGAGCACAGGAGCUCCUGUUUUCCACCAGAGCACCGGUGUCCACACGCUGUGCUUUACACCUGAGGGAACUAAUCCAUCACUGGAACCACAGGACACGGCUCGUUAAACACAGUCUGCCUUUCAGAGACGGAGCUGAGGCACAACAGUUAAGGAUUAAAUUAUAAUGUCAGCGGGAACCCAUCAGUAGCGAGCCCUCCCCACCGCAGAGGCACGCCUUCCUCCUCACCCUCGGCAGCACUACACCGACGAGAAGUUCAGGGCGCCAUGUGGAAGAUGGGCUUUACAGAUCACAGUGAGUAAGGUGACAGAUGGCUGGUUUAUAAUUCGGCCUGAAGAAAGGUGGCUUGUUGCAGAGUGUGAGGCCAGCAGGAUGAUUGCAGGGAGCAGAGUAUGUGGCACGAGCCAGCAAGCACAGGGAGGUGAGCAGCUGAAUGUAAACACUUGAUUACUUUUUUCUGGUGGACUUUGAAAGGUAAAGUAUAUCAUGUCGCUGCAACUCAGCAGUUUUAAAAAUGACAGCAUUUAUACAUCUAUUUACAGUAUCACUAAUAAGUAUAUGGCAAAUACAUGAUUUACUGAAACACAAAAAACCAGUUACACACAUGUGUAGAAAAUGAUGAAUUCCUUCCAGUCAGCUCCAACAUUAUUUAUUCCAUACAUUCAUCAAGUUGGCCAUCCUACACAGACCUAACCAACACAGGUAUGAAAACAGGCAAAGGUGGGCUAAAUACAUACAAAUCUCUUCCAGCAAAUCUCCCGUUAGCAUACAGUGCUUGUCCCCUUUUCUCAGAGAUUAGAGCUAAGGUCAGUAGUUCAGUGGGAUUAAGGUUUUAGUCACCACAGAAUUUAUAUCUCUUUAGAUUUUGUAGUCACAGUGUAGAUGUUUCCAGUAAACUAAAACAGCCCUAGCCAGUUUUUGGGUCUGAAACUUUUCCCUAAUCACAUCAGCAGGGCAGAAUUAUACCUACCCUUUAAAUAAUGAAUUAUUUAAAUUCACUAGAAUUUGAGAGAGAAGGAUCUGAACUUGGGGCAGUUUGUAGCCAGCUGCUGCUCAUGCAAGUGCUUCUCCUAAGCAUCAGCAUUAUCAUUUUUAUUACAGCAGUGGGCUCAGUACCCAAGUAGGUCACCACCGUGAUAGAUCUUGACUGUGAGGUGCACUGUAAUGGAAUAGAUUAACCUAGGAGUCAUCUGUAUGACUGAAUGAAAAGACUCCGUAUGUGCUACGAGACCAAGAAGAGACUUCUGCGUGCAUCUCAGCUUCUGAAGUUUAAAUCACCGAAACAGAAACAUGCACAAGCCUUUCCUUUCCUCCUUACUAAGCAGACUGGUUUCUCCACAUAGGUAGCUAUGUUGGGAACAGGGGCCACAGCAUGCUCCAUCAACUCUCUUAGAUGGAUGUUUACAGGAUGAGGAUUCCGGGUGCAUGAAAUCUACUAUUGGGAAGAAAACCACAUUGGAAAAAAGGAACUCCCUCUGAAAAUGAGGGAUACAAACUCACUUUUUUACUUGAAAAUGCAAGCUACGCUCUUCCUGCUAACUUUCUAACUGUUCUUCAAGUAUAACUGUUUAUCAACAGCAAUGGAUGAUGUUUAUUCUUCCUAAUUUCACACUGUAUAUCUACACUGAUCUUUCAGCCAGGUCACCUUCCACUGAUUUCACUUCUCUCUGCAGUAGCAUCAAACAGAAUUUAAAGUUGCCUUCAUAAAAAAAAUUAUGUGGCUAUCAUAGAAUCAUAGAACAGCCUGGGUUGAAAAGGACCUCAAAGAUCAUCGAGUUUCAACCCCGCUGCUGAGUACAAGGUUGCCAACCACUAGACCAGGCUGCCCAGAGCCACGUCCAGCCUUGCCUUGAAUGCCUCCUAUAAUUGUUAAGUCUAAGUUAAUAUUUGCUCUUAUUGAUCACUCAGAUUCAUGCUCCCAGUACUCACAGCCAUCAGGCAGUCCCACCAGUAUAACAUGAAUCAUGCUAUGUGGCUGACUUCUAGUUAGGUGUGUUUUGGGUAGUUUCUACAGCUUUCGGGAGCACUUGUUCCAGGAGGAGGAAUGAAGUCUGACUUGAAAGGUGAGGACUGUAUCAGAAAAAGGAGCUAGGUUAAGAUUUUCUGUACGUAUAUAUUGUACAGUGGCUAACAUAAGCAAAUAGAGGUAAGUUUCUUUGUCCCCUUCUGUCCUGUCCUAUAUGUUUUGAAGUGCAAACCCACAUGGCACAGGUGUCAAAUAAACACAGGAAGUCCACAUAUCUAACCCCAAUUUCUGCUCCUGAAUUUCCAUUUCAUUUUUCUUCUCUUACUAGUUUGUUUAAAUGAUGUUCUCUGCAAGGCAGAGCAAGGAAUUUCAUUAUCUCUGUAAAAUAUUUAGCACUCUUAAGUUGACCAAAAUAAGAUAUAGCUUUAGGCCUAAGUACAGUACCAGAGAGAUUAAUGAGCUCAAUAACUGCAAGAGAAGCAGCAGUCGUUUUGUGAGGAACCAGAUCCUCUGUCUCAGGUCUCCCAAAGGGCUAGAAGGUUAAUUAAGCCCUGGCUCAUUGUUACAACACUAAAUCCUAACAUAUGAUGUCAGUCUUUGGGUCUCUACUGGGACAAUUCUUGUUGAAAGUCUUUCAAAUACUUAAGACACAGAAGAGGGAGAAAAAAAAAGGAAGGAAAGCAGUUAAUUUGUGUCCCUAAUUACCUUAUGAGUUAAUGGAAAGUUGUUGUGGUUUAACCCAGCAGGUAGCUAAGCACCACACAGUUGUUUGCUCAAACCAUACUCCCUCAGUGCGAUGGGAGAAGCAAUCAGGAAAAAAAAAAAAAAAACAAUGGAAACAAAAAAACUAAAACUCACGUGUUGAGAUAAAAAAUACUUACUAAGACAGAAAAGGAAGAGGAAAAAGAGAUAAUAGUAAUGAUCGUAUUAUAUACAGAACAAGUGAUGCACUAGCAAUGGCUCACCACCCACUGACCAAUGCUCAGCUAGUCCCCAAGCAGUGGCAGGUCACCCAGCCAAUUCCUCACUGUUUUUCAAGUCCCACGCCCCACGUGAUGUCAUUUGGUAUGGAAUACCUGUUUGGCCAGGUUAGGUCAGCUGUCAUGGUUCCGUUCCUUCCUGAUUCCUCACGCCCCCUCAGCUCUCCUUGCUGGCAGGAUAGUACAGGAAACUGAAAAACUUGUGAUGUCCUUGGCUCCAUACAGCAUUGCUCAGCAACAACUAAAACAUGAGUGUGCUAUCAACAUUGUUUUUUCUCCUGAAGCCAAAACAUAGCAUUAUACCAGACUCUAUAAAGGAAAAAGUUCAACUUUGUCUCACCU